rnacentral:rRNA from 1 species
AUAGGGGCAACCCUUAGUAGAGCGGCGCACGGGUGCGUAACACGUGGAUAAUCUGCCUGGAUGCUCGGGAUAACCAGUCGAAAGAUUGGCUAAUACCGGAUAAGCCCACGGUUUCUUCGGAGACUGAGGGAAAAGGUGGCCUCUGUAUACAAGCUAUCACAACCAGAUGAGUCCGCGGCCCAUCAGCUAGUUGGCGGGGUAAUGGCCCACCAAGGCGACGACGGGUAGCUGGUCUGAGAGGACGAUCAGCCACACUGGAACUGAGACACGGUCCAGACUCCUACGGGAGGCAGCAGUGGGGAAUUUUGCGCAAUGGGCGAAAGCCUGACGCAGCAACGCCGCGUGUGUGAUGAAGGUCUUUGGAUUGUAAAGCACUUUCGACCGAGAAGAAAACCCGUUGGCUAACAUCCAGCGGCUUGACGGUAUCGGGAGAAGAAGCACCGGCUAACUCUGUGCCAGCAGCCGCGGUAAUACAGAGGGUGCAAGCGUUGUUCGGAAUUAUUGGGCGUAAAGCGCGUGUAGGCGGCGUGACAAGUCGGGUGUGAAAGCCCUCAGCUCAACUGAGGAAGUGCGCCCGAAACUGUCGUGCUUGAGUGCCGGAGAGGGUGGCGGAAUUCCCCAAGUAGAGGUGAAAUUCGUAGAUAUGGGGAGGAACACCGGUGGCGAAGG